CAGUCGCCGCGGUAAAACGUAGGGUGCGAGCGUUAAUCGGAAUUACUGGGCGUAAAGCGUGCGUAGGUGGUGGUUUAAGUCCGUUGUGAAAGCCCUAGGCUCAACCUGGGAAUUGCAGUGGAUACUGGGUCACUAGAGUGUGGUAGAGGAUAGUGGAAUUUCCGGUGUAGCAGUGAAAUGCGUAGAGAUCGGAAGGAACAUCUGUGGCGAAGGCAGCCCCCUGGGCCAAUACUGACGCUCAUGCACGAAAGCGUGGGGAGCAAACAGGAUUAGAUACCCCGGUAGUCCCUGUCUCUUAUAC
rnacentral:rRNA from 1 species